rnacentral:tRNA from 1 species
GGAGUUGUGGCUCAGUGAUAGAGCACUCGCCUAGCAUGUGUGAAGCCCUGGGUUCAAUCCUCAGCGCCA